rnacentral:rRNA from 1 species
GGUGUCCGAGUUGUAAUUUGAAGAUUGUAACCUUGGGGUUGGCUCUUGUCUAUGUUUCUUGGAACAGGACGUCACAGAGGGUGAGAAUCCCGUGCGAUGAGAUGCCCAAUUCUAUGUAAGGUGCUUUCGAAGAGUCGAGUUGUUUGGGAAUGCAGCUCUAAGUGGGUGGUAAAUUCCAUCUAAAGCUAAAUAUUGGCGAGAGACCGAUAGCGAACAAGUACAGUGAUGGAAAGAUGAAAAGAACUUUGAAAAGAGAGUGAAAAAGUACGUGAAAUUGUUGAAAGGGAAGGGUUUGAGAUCAGACUCGAUAUUUUGUGAGCCUUGCCUUCGUGGCGGGGUGACCCGCAGCUUAUCGGGCCAGCAUCGGUUUGGGCGGUAGGAUAAUGGCGUAGGAAUGUGACUUUACUUCGGUGAAGUGUUAUAGCCUGCGUUGAUGCUGCCUGCCUAGACCGAGGACUGCGAUUUUAUCAAGGAUGCUGGCAUAAUGAUCCCAAACCGCCCGUCUUG